ACCAGGAGCAAUGGCGCGUGCCUGUAGUCCCAGCUACUCUGGAGGCUGAGGUGGGAGGAUCGCUUGAGCCCAGGAGUUCUGGGCUGUAGUGCACUAUGCCGAUCGGGUGUCCGCACUAAGUUUGGCAUCAAUAUGGUGACCUCCCGGGAGCGGGGGACCACCAGGUUGACUAAGGAGAGGUGAACCGGCCCAGGUCAGAAACGGAGCAGGUCAAAACUCCCAUGCUGAUCAGUAGUGGGAUCACGCCUGUGAUUAGCCACUGCACUCCAGCCUGGGCAACAUAGCAAGAUCCGUCUCU
rnacentral:SRP_RNA from 1 species